UGUUUUUGAGUUUCAUGGCUCAGUGGGACGUAGCCUUCUACAGCAAACAACCAAUUGUCCUCUGAAUUUGGAGACGCUGAACUACACAAUCGUCACAAGCCAGUGCAAAGGGCCGCACUACACAAAGGAACGGUGUUGUCCGGCCCUGAAAGAAUUGCUUUGCCCUAUUCGAGAUGAAAUCAAUGACCUCAAAAACGACUGUAUGGAAACCUUUACAAGCUAUGCAAAUCUGUAUGGAAAGUAUCCAGCUGCCUUGUUUGCAAAUUUGUGCACUGAAACGAGAGAAGGCCUUGACUGUAAAGACAUAGGUGCACCACCACCUGCAACAAGUUGGGCUGCAAAAGCUACUCAAUUCAAUCUGCAUUUGCUCAUUGCCGGACUAGCAAUUCUCCUAUUUAACCUAUUCUGAAAGAUCAAGUUCUAACGACUGAAGAGAUAAAUUGUAAUCUUAAAUAUUUAUUUUAUGUAGAUAAAUAUAUUUGUUUGACUAUGUAUAGAGAGUGUGUGUGUGUUUCUUGAAGUGUUGCAUCAACUACUAGUUGAAGUUUGGAAUUCUUUAGUGUUCGUUACAAUUUUAAAAGUAAACGAAGUAAAAUCAUGGGCUGAGUCCACAGAAAGCAGGAUUUUACUCAUGUAUUAGAGA